GCUGGGGCUACGUGGGUGGGUAAUUGCACCCACCCCACUCUGCUCCACCCUGACUGAGGCUGUGUCUCCUUACAGAAACAUGUGUCACAAACUAGCCUGUGCCUUCAUUAUGGUAAACAGUAAAAUAUGUUAUCUUGGUCAGUGGUUCUGCAUAUCUGAGGGACAAUUUUAGUUAACGGCUGAGGUAGUUGGAUGGUGUACAAUUCUUACCAGGCUCAGGUGGGAACUGGCACAACUU
rnacentral:lncRNA from 1 species